rnacentral:tRNA from 1 species
CGUAAAGGAGUUUUAUGGAUACAAAAAAAGGCCGUUGUUGACGGCCUUUUCGAGGUUUGUGCCAUUGCUUAUGACUGCUCGGGAUAGUCCCUUUGUGU